rnacentral:tRNA from 1 species
GGGGAUGUAGCUCAGUGGUAGAGUGCUUGCCUGGCGUGCUGGGUUUGAUCCCCAGCAUCCCAA